rnacentral:misc_RNA from 1 species
CCGAGUUGCAAAACUCCCUAAACCAUUGUGAACCUACCUGUACCGUUCCUUCGGCGGGCGGCGUCGCGCCCUAACCUGCUCCCCCUUCGCGGGGCGGCGGACCCGCCGGAGGCCCCUAAACUCUUAUCUUCAGUUGGCAUCUCUGAGUAGAAUCAAAAAUAAGUCA